UUUUUUUAGUCCCAACUUAUAAGUCCCAAGUCCCUAAAAAGUCCCUACCUGUUUGGUUCCUGGGACUUAUAAGUCUCUAUAAGACCAUAUUACAACUAUAAGUCCCUAUAAGUCCCUUCUUAAGAGUCUUAUUUCAUAAGUCCCAAAUGCCCACUUUAAGUCCCUAUAAGUCUCUCCUGUUUGGUUUAGAUGGGACUUAUAGAGACUUAUUUAAGUCCCUAGACCAAUAAGUCCCUGGAAACAAACACCCUCUUAG
rnacentral:rRNA from 1 species